rnacentral:rRNA from 1 species
CCUACGGGAGGCACCAGUGGGGAAUAUUGCACAAUGGGCGCAAGCCUGAUGCAGCCAUGCCGCGUGUAUGAAGAAGGCCUUCGGGUUGUAAAGUACUUUCAGCGAGGAGGAAGGCAUUAAGGUUAAUAACCUUGGUGAUUGACGUUACUCGCAGAAGGAGCACCGGCUAACUCCGUGCCAGCAGCCGCGGUAAUACGGAGGGUGCAAGCGUUAAUCGGAAUUACUGGGCGUAAAGCGCACGCAGGCGGUCUGUCAAGUCGGAUGUGAAAUCCCCGGGCUCAACCUGGGAACUGCAUUCGAAACUGGCAGGCUAGAGUCUUGUAGAGGGGGGUAGAAUUUCAGGUGUAGCGGUGAAAUGCGUAGAGAUCUGAAGGAAUACCAGUGGCGAAGGCGGCCCCCUGGACAAAGACUGACGCUCAGAUGCGAAAGCGUGGGGAGCAAACAGGAUUAGAUACCCCGGUAGUC